AAAAAGAAAGAAAGAAAGACA
rnacentral:sRNA from 1 species